rnacentral:tRNA from 1 species
GGGCGCAUAGCGCAGUGGUAGCGCGUCCGCUUUGCAAGCGGAAGGCCCCGAGUUCAAUCCCCGGUGUGUCCA